rfam:Asian citrus Psyllid, Diaphorina citri - Florida Strain, whole genome shotgun sequence.
GCCAAGUUGGCUUAGUUGGUAGCGCGUAGCUGCCUUGUAAGCGCUAAGCCGCGGGUUCGAUUCCCGCCCGGGGCG